rnacentral:rRNA from 1 species
AUACGUAGGGGGCGAGCGUUGUCCGGAAUGAUUGGGCGUAAAGGGCGCGUAGGCGGCCUGUUAAGUCUGGAGUGAAAGUCCUGUUUUCAAGAUGGGAAUUGCUUUGGAUACUGAUGGGCUUGAGUGCAGGAGAGGUUAUCGGAAUUCCCGGUGUAGCGGAGAAAUGCGUAGAGAUCGGGAGGAACACCAGUGGCGAAGGCGGGUAACUGGACUGCAACUGACGCUGAGGCGCGAAAGUGUGGGGAGCAAACAGGAUUAGAUACCCUGGUAGUCCACACUGUAAACGAUGAAUGCUAGGUGUAAGAGGUAUCGACCCCUUUUGUGCCGGAGUUAACACAAUAAGCAUUCCGCCUGGGGAGUACGGCCGCAAGGUUGAAACUCAAAGGAAUUGACGGGG